GUUGUAUGGUUAAGUGACCAAGCGUAUACGGUGGAUGCCUUGGCAGUCAGAGGCGAUGAAGGACGUAAUAACUUGCGAAAAGCGUUGGCGAGCUAGUAAUAAGCAUUUGAGCUAACGAUAUCCGAAUGGGGAAACCCAGCAGCAUAAGCUGUUAUCACUACAUGAAUACAUAGUGUAGUGAGGCAAACCCGGGGAACUGAAACAUCUAAGUACCCGGAGGAAAAGAAAUCAACCGAGAUUCCCCUAGUAGCGGCGAGCGAACGGGGAUUAGCCCUUAAGUCUAUGGGGUGUUAGUGGAAUGUGUUGGAAAGCACAGCGGCACAGGGUGAUAGCCCCGUACAUGAAAACUAACCAUAGAUGAAAACGAGUAAGGCGGGACACGUGACAUCCUGUUUGAAUAUGGGGGGACCAUCCUCCAAGGCUAAAUACUCCUGACUGACCGAUAGUGAACCAGUACCGUGAGGGAAAGGCGAAAAGAACCCCUGUGAGGGGAGUGAAAUAGAACCUGAAACCGUAUACGUACAAGCAGUGGGAGCGGUUC
rnacentral:rRNA from 1 species